rnacentral:rRNA from 1 species
CAGCCGCCGCGGUAAUACCGGCGGCCCGAGUGGCGGUCACUAUUAUUGGGCUUAAAGCGUCCGUAGCCGGGUUGGGAAGUCCUCCGGGAAAUCUGGCCGCUUAACGGUCAGAAUGCCGGAGGAUACUCCCAGCCUAGGGAGCGGGAGAGGCUGAGGGGAUUCCCGGAGGAGGGGGGAAAUCCUAUAAUCCCGGGAGGACCACCUGUGGCGAAGGCGCUCGGCUGGAACGCGUCCGACGGUGAGGGACGAAGGCCAGGGGAGCAAACCGGAUUAGAUACCCGGGUAGUCCUGGCGGUAAACGAUGCGGACUUUGUGUCGGACAAGCUAUGAGCUUGUCCGGUGCCGGAGGGAAACCGUUAAGUCCGCCGCCUGGGGAGUACGGCCGCAAGGCUGAAACUUAAAGGAAUUGGCGGG